UACAGAGGUCCCAAGCGUUGUUCGGAUUUACUGGGCGUAAAGGGUGCGUAGGCGGUCAAAAAAGUCUGAUGUGAAAUCUCGGAGCCUAACUCCGAAACUGCAUUGGAAACUGUUUGACUUGAGGAGUGGAGGGGAGACUGGAAUUCUCGGUGUAGCAGUGAAAUGCGUAGAUAUCGAGAGGAACACCAGUGGCGAAGGCGAGUCUCUAGACAUUUCCUGACGCUGGGGAACGAAAGCCAGGGGAGCAAACGGGAUUAGAUACCCGGGUGGUUUUGGCUGUAAACGGUGGGCAUUUGUGGUGGGGGGAUCCGACCCCGCCAGUGGCGAAGCUAACGCGAUAAAUGCGCCGCCUGGGGAGUACGGUCGCAAGAUUA
rnacentral:rRNA from 1 species